rnacentral:rRNA from 1 species
GUGCCAGCAGCCGCGGUAAUACAGAGGCCCCAAGCGUUACUGAGAAUCACUGGGUUUAAAGGGUGCGUAGGUGGCGCGUUAAGUCCGUUGUGAAAGCCCUGGGCUCAACCCAGGAACUGCUUCGGAUACUGGCGCGCUUGAGGCUAGUAGGGGUCACUGGAACUGACGGUGGAGCGGUGAAAUGCGUAGAUAUCGUCAGGAACGCCAAUGGUGAAGACAGGUGACUGGGCUAGUUCUGACACUGAGGCACGAAAGCGUGGGGAGCGAACGGGAUUAGAAACCCCUGUAGUCC